rfam:Trichobilharzia regenti genome assembly, scaffold: TRE_scaffold0007101
GUGUUGCUGAAGAGUCCCAAAUUGGGACGAAAGAGCUGUCCAGUAC